UACGGAGGGUGCGAGCGUUGUCCGGAAUCACUGGGCGUAAAGGGCGCGUAGGCGGGAUGGCAAGUCGGUCGUGAAAUCUCUCGGCUCAACCGAGAAACGUCGGCCGAUACUGCCAUUCUUAAGGGAUGCAGAGGAGACUGGAAUUCCCGGUGUAGCGGUGAAAUGUGUAGAGAUCGGGAGGAACACCGGUGGCGAAGGCGGGUCUCUGGGCAUUUCCUGACGCUGAGGCGCGAAAGCGUGGGGAGCAAACGGG
rnacentral:rRNA from 1 species